rnacentral:rRNA from 1 species
AGUGAACGCUGGCGGUAGGCCUAACACAUGCAAGUCGAACGGCAGCACAGUAAGAGCUUGCUCUUACGGGUGGCGAGUGGCGGACGGGUGAGGAAUACAUCGGAAUCUACUUUUUCGUGGGGGAUAACGUAGGGAAACUUACGCUAAUACCGCAUACGACCUACGGGUGAAAGCAGGGGAUCUUCGGACCUUGCGCGAUUGAAUGAGCCGAUGUCGGAUUAGCUAGUUGGCGGGGUAAAGGCCCACCAAGGCGACGAUCCGUAGCUGGUCUGAGAGGAUGAUCAGCCACACUGGAACUGAGACACGGUCCAGACUUCUACGGGAGGCAGCAGAGGGGAAUAUUGGACAAUGGGCGCAAGCCUGAUCCAGCCAUACCGCGUGGGUGAAGAAGGCCUUCGGGUUGUACAGCCCUUUUGUUGGGAAAGAAAAGCAGCAGGUUAAUACCCCGCUGUUCUGACGGUACCCAAAGAAUAAGCACCGGCUAACUUCGUG